rnacentral:rRNA from 1 species
CUACGUGCCAGCAGCCGCGGUAAUACGUAGGUCCCGAGCGUUGUCCGGAUUUAUUGGGCGUAAAGCGAGCGCAGGCGGUUAGAUAAGUCUGAAGUUAAAGGCUGUGGCUUAACCAUAGUACGCUUUGGAAACUGUUUAACUUGAGUGCAAGAGGGGAGAGUGGAAUUCCAUGUGUAGCGGUGAAAUGCGUAGAUAUAUGGAGGAACACCGGUGGCGAAAGCGGCUCUCUGGCUUGUAACUGACGCUGAGGCUCGAAAGCGUGGGGAGCAAACAGGAUUAGAUACCCUGGUAGUCCACGCCGUAAACGAUGAGUGCUAGGUGUUAGACCCUUUCCGGGGUUUAGUGCCGUAGCUAACGCAUUAAGCACUCCGCCUGGGGAGUACGACCGCAAGGUUGAAACUCAAAGGAAUUGACGGGGGCCCGCACAGGCGGUGGAGCAUGUGGUUUAAUUCGAAGCAACGCGAAGAACCUUACCAGGUCUUGACA